rnacentral:rRNA from 1 species
AGUGGCGGACGGGUGAGUAACGCGUGAGAAUCUGCCUUGGGGUCGGGGACAACCACUGGAAGCGGUGGCUAAUACCGGAUAAGCCGAUUGGUGAAAGAUUUAUUGCCCGAAGAGGAGCUCGCGUCUGAUUAGCUAGUUGGUGAGGUAAGAGCUCACCAAGGCAGCGAUCAGUAGCUGGUCUGAGAGGACGAUCAGCCACACUGGGACUGAGACACGGCCCAGACUCCUACGGGAGGCAGCAGUGGGGAAUUUUCCGCAAUGGGCGAAAGCCUGACGGAGCAAGACCGCGUGAGGGAGGAAGGCUCUUGGGUUGUAAACCUCUUUUCUCAGGGAAGAAGCUCUGACGGUACCUGAGGAAUCAGCCUCGGCUAACUCCGUGCCAGCAGCCGCGGUAAUACGGAGGAGGCAAGCGUUAUCCGGAAUUAUUGGGCGUAAAGCGUCCGCAGGUGGCGAUUCAAGUCUGCUGUCAAAGCACGGGGCUUAACUCCGUAAAGGCAGUGGAAACUGAAUAGCUAGAGUGCCGUAGGGGUAGAGGGAAUUCCCGGUGUAGCGGUGAAAUGCGUAGAGAUCGGGAAGAACAUCGGUGGCGAAAGCGCUCUACUGGACGGCAACUGACACUCAGGGACGAAAGCUAGGGGAGCGAAUGGGAUUAGAUACCCC